rnacentral:rRNA from 1 species
GACGAACGCUGGCGGCGUGCCUAAUACAUGCAAGUCGAGCGGACAGAAGGGAGCUUGCUCCCGGAAGUUAGCGGCGGACGGGUGAGUAACACGUGGGCAACCUACCCUGUAGAUCGGGAUAACAUCGAGAAAUCGGUGCUAAUACCGGAUAAUCAUUUGAAGUGCAUGCUUCGAAUGUAAAAGAUGGCUCCGGCUAUCACUACGGGAUGGGCCCGCGGCGCAUUAGCUAGUUGGUAAGGUAAUGGCUUACCAAGGCAAAGAUGCGUAGCCGACCUUGGAGCGUGAUCGGCCACACGGGGACUGAGACACGGCCCAGACUCCUACGGGAGGCAGCAGUAGGGAAUCUUCCGCAAUGGACGAAAGUCUGACGGAGCAACGCCGCGUGAGUGAUGAAGGUUUUCGGAUCGUAAAGCUCUGUUGUUAGGGAAGAACAAGUGCCGUUUGAAUAAGGCGGCACCUUGACGGUACCUAACCAGAAAGCCACGGCUAACUACGUGCCAGCCGCCGCGGUAACAC